UACGUAGGGUCCAAGCGUUAUCCGGAAUCACUGGGCGUAAAGCGUGCGUAGGUGGCGCGUUAAGUGUGAUGUUAAAUCGCGGGGCUCAACCCUGUCGAUCGCAUCGCAUACUGGCGUGCUAGAGGGGAAGCAGAGGCAAGUGGAAUUGGUAGUGUAGCAGUGAAAUGCGUAGAUAUUAACCAGGAACACCAAUGGCGAAGGCAGCUUGCUGGGC
rnacentral:rRNA from 1 species